rnacentral:sRNA from 1 species
GAUCAUUAUCGAACUUUGAGGGGGGGGAGGGGAAGGCUGUCGCUGGCUCUCUCGAGCAUGUGCACGUCUUUCUUCUCUCUCGCAAACCCCUACUACACCUGUGCACCCAUUGUAGGCUCUCGAAAGAGGAUCUACGUAUUUCAUACAACACCCACUUUGCAUGUCCAUAGAAUGUAAUCAGUAGGAUUCGUCCUACGAAAUCAUACAACUUUCAGCAACGGAUCUCUUGGCUCUCGCAUCGAUGAAGAACGCAGCGAAUUGCGAUAAGUAAUGUGAAUUGCAGAUUUUCAGUGAAUCAUCGAAUCUUUGAACGCACCUUGCGCUCCUUGGUAUUCCGAGGAGCAUGCCUGUUUGAGUGUCAACGAAUUCUCAACCAUGCCUUUGUCGAAAGGGCAUGGCUUGGACUUUGGGAGCCUUGCUGGCCUUUUCGGUCAGCUCUCCUGAAAUGCAUUAGCGAUGGGUGGCUAGGACGUGCACGGCCUUCGACGUGAUAAUGAUCGUCGUGGCUGGAGCGUCUUUAUCCUCGCUCACAAUCCACACUAGCCUUGGGUUAGCUUUUGGCUAUUAGUUCGGUCGCGAGACUUGACGAACGUCGGAGGAUUUUCUCUUGGCUGGUCGAUUUCGAAACUUGACCUCAAAUCAGGUAGGAUUACCCGCUGAACUUAAGCAUAUCAAUAAGCGGAGGAAAAGAAACUAACAAGGAUUCCCCUAGUAACUGCGAGUGAAGCGGGAUGAGCUCAAAUUUUGAAUCUGGCGGUCUUUGGCCGUCCGAGUUGUAAUCUAGAGAAGCGUCUUCCGCGCUGGA